UGGGGAAUAUUGCACAAUGGGCGCAAGCCUGAUGCAGCCAUGCCGCGUGUAUGAAGAAGGCCUUCGGGUUGUAAAGUACUUUCAGCGGGGAGGAAGGGAGUAUAGUUAAUACCUUUGCUCAUUGACGUUACCCGCAGAAGAAGCACCGGCUAACUCCGUGCCAGCAGCCGCGGUAAUACGGAGGGUGCAAGCGUUAAUCGGAAUUACUGGGCGUAAAGCGCACGCAGGCGGUUUGUUAAGUCAGAUGUGAAAUCCCCGGGCUCAACCUGGGAACUGCAUCUGAUACUUGCAAGCUUGAGUCUCGUAGAGGGGGGUAGAAUACCAGGUGUAGCGGUGAAAUGCGUAGAGAUAUGGAGGAAUACCGGUGGCGAAGGCGUCCCCCUGGACGAAGACUGACGCUCAGGUGCGAAAGCGUGGGGAGCAAACAGG
rnacentral:rRNA from 1 species